GGGUCAGUAGGUUGGUCGUGCCACCGGUACGUACUGGUCUCACUGAUUCCUCCUUCCUGAAGAACCGUAAUGCCAUUAAUUUGGUGUUGCGGGGAAACAGGACUGUUACUUUGAAAAAAUUAGAGUGUUUAAAGCAAGCUAACGCUUGAAUACAUUAGCAUGGAAUAAUGAAAUAGGACGAUCGAUCCUAUAUUGUUGGUUUCUAGGAUUGACGUA
rnacentral:rRNA from 1 species